rnacentral:misc_RNA from 1 species
AAGUCGUAACAAGGUAACCGUAGGUGAACCUGCGGUUGGAUCAUUAACAAAUAAUUUAGGCCCCUGGCUGCCUCAAAAGGGCGAAGGGGGGAAACCUAAACAUUUGUGUGCACCAUAUCUGUCCUUGGCAGUUCGAGUGUCCUGGGUCGCGUAACUGCCUCAGGUACCUACCGAGGCUUUCCUCUCGGGGUUUGCCAAAGUUGGGCUGCCGCUUCUAGAACAAACCUUUUGUAAAUUAUUUUUGCCUGAAUUUGUUUGAUCUUUAUGAUUGAAUUUAAAUACAACUUUUGACAACGGAUCUCUUGGCUCUC